AAGGCCUGUGGAGUAAAGAUCUCUGGGUGAGUGAGCAGGGAGGCAAAUCUAUAUGAUCUUGGUCACUUCUACAAAUUCUUUCAUUUAAAGACAUUUAAGGUGUCUUUAGACACAUGGCAGUGGACAGACCUCAAAUCCCAAAUGUUUUUACUUCCUUUUGUUAGUCAUCCUACAAGCUUUGGAAACUUUUGACUCUUGGGAUCAAGGGCUAAUGAAAGUCUAACAUAAACAGCCUCUAGGGAUCUCCAGGCAGACACAAAGAUGCUGUGGAAAAGAAAGUCACGUGAUUUUUAAGGCGAGGAUUUUGAGAGCCACACCUGUCCCCUUGCUUUACAUACUAAAUACGAACAUGUAGGCUGCUGUUUGGGGACAAACCCUCUCUUUACAGAUGCAUAUUCAGAUACUGGUAUUUCUGCCAACCAGAAAUCCCAGAAUGCAAACUAGGCAAGCUGCACAGCUUCAUGUUUUAAAAUGAUGACUGCCAUUUGCCAUACUUCCUGCCUGUUUCAACACUGAGGACCCAAGAGCUACAGAGAAACUACCAGCUAUCAUACGAAGCUUCUAGGACUGUGGCCUCUGAUCUACAUCUCAUCAUGUACUGUUCAUGUGCGUAAGAAAGUGAACAAGAGUUUAUAUCUAGCCAAAUCAUUCAGAUGCUGCUCCCGGGAAGCUGCUUUGAGUCCUACAGCCCUCAGCGUUGAACGGCAAGACACGGCACCCCAUCAGACCAGGCUUCCAGCGCCCUUUGGGACCUUCUGGCACAGCUUCCCAAAGAAGGGACAUCACUUUAAGCAGCCGAAGCACUCAGCACCCAGCUCCACUCCCAUUCCUGGCAGCACGGUUGGCACAAAGCUAUUUUUCCAAUUUAAUAAAAGCAAACAAGUAGCCA